rnacentral:rRNA from 1 species
UACGUAGGGGGCGAGCGUUGUCCGGAUUUAUUGGGCGUAAAGAGCGUGUAGGCGGCCAGGUAGGUCUGCUGUGAAAACUCGAGGCUCAACCUCGAGACGUCGGCGGAAACCAUCUGGCUAGAGUCCGGAAGAGGAGAGUGGAAUUCCUGGUGUAGCGGUGAAAUGCGCAGAUAUCAGGAAGAAUAUCCGUGGCGAAGGCGGCUCUCUGGGACGGUACUGACGCUGAGACGCGAAAGCGUGGGGAGCGAACAGG